CUCUCCCCCACCAUUGCUCCUCCUCCUUUCCCUCGCAUGCCGAUGACCCACUUCGACUUCAUGUUAGAGCACACACAUUUUUCCAUUUCUAGUAAGCUUUCUCAACCUCAUCGUGUUCAACAAUCUCCACAAACAAACCCUGUCGAACCCUAUCGAAUAUAGAAGAAUGUGUGGUGGAUUCAACCAAGAGAUAAUGUAUGGAAAUUGCUUGGGCUGCAUGGAUACUUAUUUUCAUCGGAUAUUGGUGAUUGCUAGCCCCUCUACCAUUCCAUCGGAGAUUACUUUGAAGGAAUGCAGAUGAGAAUAGAUCAGCAAAUUCCCAUGUUUCUCGUUGAGAGAGAAGCUCUUAAUGAAGCUAUUGAAGGGAAAUUAAUGUUUUCACCACUUACCAGAAACAGGGGGUUUAAGCCUUUAAUUUCAGAAGAACAGUCGACCGUCCGUCACAAUUAGGGAUGGCAAAGUGGGUUAUGGCCCGCGAGUCGGCCUGUUGGCCCGCCAAAAAUUGGCGGGCCGGACCCAUUAUUUCAAUCUGCCAACUCGUGCAAGCCCGCCCCACCAAGCCCGCCAACCCGC